ACUCGCGGGGUGGCCAGGAGCCCCCCGUCGGGGCUCGUCUGCCUCGGCCCCACCUCGGCGGCCGGUUGCGUGGGCGAGCCUCGGUGUGCCGCGGAGUCGGAAGGCCGACUUCCGCCGACACGUACGACACGCGCCGAACGCCCGUGCGGAGGCGCCAGGCCGCGGAGGCCGUGCGCCGCCGGCUUCCGGGAGCGCGCGUGCUGGCGAAGGCGGGGCGGGGAGGUGCGCGCAGGACGCGGCGGGGAGCCCGGCGCGGGGGGGUCCGAGGACGCCAGCGAGAGGAGCCGAGCGGUUCCUGGAGAGGAGGUGCCUGCGGAGACCGCCGAGGCCUCCGGGCAGAGCGAGGGCCGGACACGGAGGCCGGAAGAUACGUGCAGCCUUAUACGUGGGUGGCGUGUCUAGGGAAGGGGACGUGAGCCCAGGUGUCUGCAGGGGUCCGACAGACGUUAGCUUCUGCGGACUGGCGGUUCCAUCCUGGAAGCCAGGGCCACCCUGCCCCCAGGCACAGCUGUGAUUUCCUCAGGGAGCGGGGCGAACUGGAUUCUCUCCGGAUGACCUGGGAGAGUCGCUUUAAGAGACCAGAAUAACUUCAGUCUCCUACCAUUUGAACCCGGAACAAAGACUAAUCUGCUCAUCUCCUCUGGCCUCGGACACCUGUUGGCACCUCAGCACAUCACCUGAGGAAUAGUGAAGCUGCCACCCCUGGCCACCACUCUUCCUCUGAGUCGAUGCCAACAGCUGUACCAUCCUCCGCUUCUCCUGCCGACAGCAGUCACCAGGCCGGGACUGGGAAUCACAUCAGAAAAUCCUAGGCUGCCGAGGGAAGAGGAAUUCAGAAAAUCUCCGUAGAACUAACACUACGUGUUAACUUUUUCAAAGUCUGGGAAGGCUCCUGGGCACAUGCGGGACUUCUGAAGCUGGGCCGACUAAGAUCCAUCCGAGAGCCCGGAUCUAACUGCUGAAGAAACAGACACAUAGAAAUGAACUCGCCGAAGGUUACAGAGUCAGUAACAAGGCAAAUGGAAGCUUUGCUUUUCUGACUGGAGCCGGCUCCUCUCUCCAGCAGAGCAGUACUUACGAUCUGUCAGAGCAAGUGCCGAUUGACAAAAGGCAGAAAGCAGGAAGGCCCUACGGAGAACCGAAAUGCUUCAGAGACAAAGUGUGAUAACAUUUUUCUUCUGCUGGGAAACAUGUUAAGAAGAAAUUAGGGAAUCGGCCAUGGUGCACGAAGCACCUAGAGGUGGGCCUUUUCGGUCGGAGGCACAUGCGACGUUCUUGUCUCGUCGGGACCCACGGCUCCUCACAGAGAGCUGGCAGGCAGGCAGGGGAGGGCCAGCAGCACCGUCUCCUUUGGCGACAGCUGUACUUGCUACUUGCACACUCAUGCUGACUUCAUCCGUAAAUGUGAACUAGGCCAGAACUGAGCAGGCUGAAAGCUGCAUAUGUAAAAAAGAAUCAUCGCAGAUAUCAAGAAAAUGUAUUUCCUUGGAUCUGUUCUAA